UCACUUUCAACAACGGAUCUCUUGGCUCUCGCAUCGAUGAAGAACGUAGCGAAGUGCGAUAAGUAGUGUGAAUUGCAGAAUUCCGUGUAUCAUCGAAUCUUUGAACGCAAAUUGCACUUCCUGGCACCCCGGGAAGUAUGCCUGUUUGAGGGUCAGUU
rnacentral:rRNA from 1 species